CCUACGAGAGGCAGCAGUGAGGAAUAUUGGUCAAUGGGCGGAAGCCUGAACCAGCCAAGUAGCGUGCAGGAUGACGGCCCUACGGGGUGUAAACUGCUUUUAUACGGGAAUAACGCGCCUUACGUGUAGGGCUUUGCAUGUACCGUAUGAAUAAGGACCGUCUAAUUCCGUGCCAGCACCCGCGGUCAUCCGGCAGGUCCGGGCGUUAUCCGGAUUUAUUGGGUUUAAAGGGAGCGUAGGCCGCAUGUCAAGCGUGCUGUGAAAUGUCCGGGCUCAACCCGGGCCUUGCAGCACGAACUGGGGUGCUUGAGUCCGCGGAAAGCAGGCGGAAUGCGUCGUGUAGCGGUGAAAUGCUUAGAUAUGACGAAGAACCCCGAUUGCGAAGGCAGCUUGCUGCAGCGGAACUGACGCUGAUGCUCGAAAGCGCGGGUAUCGAACAGGAUUAGAUACCCCGGUAGUC
rnacentral:rRNA from 1 species